rnacentral:rRNA from 1 species
GAUGAACGCUGGCGGCGUGCCUAAUACAUGCAAGUCGAGCGAACAGACGAGGAGCUUGCUCCUCUGACGUUAGCGGCGGACGGGUGAGUAACACGUGGAUAACCUACCUAUAAGACUGGGAUAACUUCGGGAAACCGGAGCUAAUACCGGAUAAUAUAUUGAACCGCAUGGUUCAAUAGUGAAAGACGGUUUUGCUGUCACUUAUAGAUGGUUCCGCGCCGCAUUAGCUAGUUGGUAAGGUAACGGCUUACCAAGGCAACGAUGCGUAGCCGACCUGAGAGGGUGAUCGGCCACACUGGAACUGAGACACGGUCCAGACUCCUACGGGAGGCAGCAGUAGGGAAUCUUCCGCAAUGGGCGAAAGCAUGACGGAGCAACGCCGCGUGAGUGAUGAAGGUCUUCGGAUCGUAAAACUCUGUUAUUAGGGAAGAACAAAUGUGUAAGUAACUAUGCACGUCUUGACGGUACCUAAUCAGAAAGCCACGGCUAACUACGUG